rnacentral:rRNA from 1 species
GUGUCAGCAGCCGCGGUAAUACGAAGGGGGCUAGCGUUGUUCGGAGUUACUGGGCGUAAAGGGCGCGUAGGCGGCCGGUCAAGUCGGGUGUGAAAGCCCGGGGCUCAACCCCGGAUGUGCAUUCGAGACUGAUUGGCUUGAGGACGGGAGAGGAUGGUGGAAUUCCCAGUGUAGAGGUGAAAUUCGUAGAUAUUGGGAAGAACACCGGUGGCGAAGGCGGCCAUCUGGACCGUAUCUGACGCUGAGGCGCGAAAGCGUGGGGAGCAAACAGGAUUAGAUACCCCGGUAGUCC